rnacentral:rRNA from 1 species
AACGAACGCUGGCGGCAGGCCUAACACAUGCAAGUCGAGCGAGCAUUUCGGUGCUAGCGGCGGACGGGUGAGUAACGCGUGGGAACGUGCCCUUUUCUGCGGAAUAGUCCUGGGAAACUGGGGGUAAUACCGCAUACGCCCUUUUGGGGAAAGAUUUAUCGGAGAAGGAUCGGCCCGCGUUGGAUUAGGUAGUUGGUGGGGUAAUGGCCCACCAAGCCGACGAUCCAUAGCUGGUUUGAGAGGAUGAUCAGCCACACUGGGACUGAGACACGGCCCAGACUCCUACGGGAGGCAGCAGGGGGGAAUCUUAGACAAUGGGGGCAACCCUGAUCUAGCCAUGCCGCGUGAGUGAUGAAGGCCUUAGGGUUGUAAAGCUCUUUCAGCUGGGAAGAUAAUGACGGUACCAGCAGAAGAAGCCCCGGCUAACUCCGU